CCCUUAGAUGUUCUGGGCUGCACGCGUGCUACACUGAUAUUGCCAAUAUGUCAUUCUUAUCCGAAAUGGAUUGGGUAAUCAAGUAAUGAAAUUUCAUGCUUGGAAUCGGUAAUUGCAAUUUUAUCGUGAACGAGGAAUUCCUAGUAAGCACUAGUCAUCAGCUAAUGUUGAUUAUGUCCCUGCCCUUUGUACACACCGCCCGUCGCUACUACCGAUUGAAUGGUUUAGUGAGAUCUCUGGAUUGACGCUGGCUAGGGGGCGACCCUUGGCCAGACUGUUGAGAAACUGCUCAAACUUGAUCAUUUAGAGGAAGUAAAAGUCGUAACA
rnacentral:rRNA from 1 species